AUCAUUUGGGUUAAAGAGCUUCUACAUAUUGGUGUAUUAACCAUUGCAGAAACAUACAAAAUGAUGUUUGUAAUUACCAAUGCUGUUAAUUUAGGGCAGCUGUGGCACAAACCUUACUUUGGGUGGAGGUCUAAUAGAUUUGUAAAGCACCGUGUUAAAAAUCUCAAAUCCUCAGUCCUACUGAGACAAUCAUGGCAGAGCAGGGAGGAGGAGCCUCAAGAGGUUAUUUAAGAGAUGGGUGUGGUUAUCGGCCUCCCUUUGGUCCUUGAGCCUGCUCUGUCCAUGCUGCCACAGCACUUAAGUAGAAGUUUGUUUGACCACUGAAACCACAAAGAAGAUCUAGAGACUUAGAAUUGUUUGUCUACUUUAAAGGACACAUAUGAGAAGCUGAAGCAAUUCCUCACUCCUUGUGUAACAUAUUGGAUGCAUAAAUUAAUGGUUACUUCACUUCAGUGCAGGCCGUGCUGUUUGGGGCAACUCCCCCUCAACGAAGUGGUCCUGCAAGUGUUGCAGUUUCUCCUCGCCAAACAAACACACACUAAUUGUCCAUUAUAAACUGAAGCACUGUCAUCAGGCAAGGAACUGUCCUCUUCCUUGUGUCUAUGCAGACUGUGUGCAUGGCCGUAACUACCAUUGAGGACACUGAGGUCAUGUCCUCGGUAUUUUUUUCAAGAGACAAAAAGAAGGUGAUAUAACUGAUGGCAAAUAUACUUUGUGUUGGACAUCACUUGCGCCUCUACAUCACUGUGCGGUAGAUCAUCCUCUCGUAACUACACGAUCUUUGGUCAUCACAGUGGUUUGAAGGUGGUCUGCCCCAAAAAUCCACCAGAUUAGUACUGAUUUCUAAUGUAUAGACCGCUACAACAGAGUCCAGCCAA